rnacentral:rRNA from 1 species
UCAAGUUAUUAAGGGUGCAGGGCGGAUGCCUUGGCACUAGGAGCCGAUGAAGGACGUGAUAAGCUGCGAUAAGCUUCGGGGAGUUGCACGUAAACUUUGAUCCGAAGAUUUCCGAAUGAGGAAACUCACUUAGAGUAAUGUCUAAGUAUCAUUAAGUGAAUACAUAGCUUAAUGAGGGGAACUCAGGGAACUGAAACAUCUAAGUACCUGAAGGAAGAGAAAGAAAUUCGAUUCCGUAAGUAGCGGCGAGCGAACGCGGAUUAGCCCAAACCAAUAAAGUUUUCUUUAUUGGGGUUGAGGACAUACCACAUAUAAGAGGUCAUUAUAGACGAAGAAGUUUGGAAAAACUCAUCAUAGAAGGUAAUAAUCCUGUAGUCAAAAUAAUAAUUCUUUAGGUAUGAUCCAGAGUACCACGGGACACGUGAAACCCUGUGGGAAGCAGGAGGGACCACCCUCCAAGGCUAAAUACUACCUAGUGACCGAUAGCGUAUAGUACCGUGAGGGAAAGGUGAAAAGAACCCCGGGAGGGGAGUGAAAUAGAACCUGAAACCCUGCACUUACAAGCUGUGGAAGCACAUUUCUUGUGUGACCGCGUACUUUUUGUAGAACGGGCCAACGAGUUACGUUAAGUAGCAAGGUUAAGCACUUAAGGUGCGGAGCCGUAGCGAAAGCGAGUUUUAACUGAGCGUUCAGUUACUUGACGUAGACCCGAAACCGGGCGACCUACCCAUGAGCAGGAUGAAGCGAAAGUAAAAUUUCGUGGAGGUCCGAACCCACGAGCGUUGAAAAGCUCGGGGAUGACUUGUGGGUAGCGGUGAAAUUCCAAUCGAGCCCGGAGAUAGCUGGUUCUCCCCGAAAUAGCUUUAGGGCUAGCCUCAAGGUGAGAGAUACGGAGGUAGAGCACUGAAUGUCCUAGGGGGUAUUGCACCUACCGAAGACUAUCAAACUCCGAAUGCCGUCAUCUUAUACUUGGGAGUCAGACUGUGGGUGAUAAGAUUCAUAGUCGAAAGGGCAACAGCCCAGAUCGUCAGCUAAGGUCCCUAAAUGUAAGUUAAGUGGUAAAGGAUGUGGGAUUGCACAGACAACCAGGAUGUUGGCUUAGAAGCAGCCACUCAUUCAAAGAGUGCGUAAUAGCUCACUGGUCGAGUGAUCCUGCGCCGAAGAUUUCCGGGGCUAAAACUUACUACCGAAGCUACGGCAUCAGUAAUGAUGGGUAGGGGAGCUUCCCAUACGGGUUGAAGCAUGACCGUAAGGACAUGUGGACAGUAUGGGAGUGAGAAUGUUGGCAUGAGUAGCGAGAUGUGGGUGAGAAUCCCACAGGCCGUAAACCCAAGGUUUCCAGGGGAAGGUUCGUCCGCCCUGGGUUAGUCGGGACCUAAGCUGAGGCCGAAAGGCGUAGGUGAUGGACAACAGGUUGAUAUUCCUGUACUACCGAUAACCGUUUGAGAGANGGGAUGACACAGUAGGAUAAGCUAAGCACACUGUUGGUUAUGUGUGCCCAAGCAUUGAGGCAGUCAAAGUAGGCAAAUCCGCUUUGAUAAUGCUGGGAUGUGAUGGGGAGCGAAAUUUAGUAGCGAAGUAGCUGAUUUCACACUGUCAAGAAAAGUCUCUAUCGAGGUUAAAGGUACCCGUACCGCAAACCGACACAGGUGGGUGAGGAGAGUAUCCUAAGGCCAGCGAGAGAACUGUUGUUAAGGAACUCGGCAAAAUGACCCCGUAACUUAGGGAUAAGGGGUGCCACCAUCAGGUGGCCGCAGAGAAUAGGCCCAAGCGACUGUUUACCAAAAACAUAGGUUUCUGCUAAGUCGCAAGACGAUGUAUAGGAGCUGACGCCUGCCCGGUGCUGGAAGGUUAAGGGGAUCUGUUAGAGCAAUCGAAGCAGUGAACUUAAGCCCCAGUAAACGGCGGCCGUAACUAUAACGGUCCUAAGGUAGCGAAAUUCCUUGUCGGGUAAGUUCCGACCCGCACGAAAGGCGUAACGAUUUGGGCACUGUCUCAACAACAGACUCGGUGAAAUUGUAAUUCCGGUGAAGAUGCCGGAUACCUGCGACAGGACGGAAAGACCCCAUGGAGCUUUACUGUAGCUUGACAUUGGGUCUUGGUACUACAUGUACAGGAUAGGUGGGAGGCUUUGAAACCAGGACGCCAGUUUUGGCGGAGCCAUCCUUGGGAUACCACCCUUGUAGUACUGGGACUCUAACCAUAGGCCAUGAAUCUGGUCUUGGGACACUGUCAGGUGGGCAGUUUGACUGGGGCGGUCGCCUCCCAAAAGGUAACGGAGGCGCUCAAAGGUUCUCUCAGUACGGUCGGAAAUCGUACGUAGAGUGUAAAGGCAAAAGAGAGCUUGAUUGCAAGACAUACAGGUCGAGCAAGGAUGAAAAUCGGACUUAGUGAUCCGGUGGUUCUGCGUGGAAGGGCCAUCGCUCAACGGAUAAAAGCUACCCUGGGGAUAACAGGCUUAUCUCCCCCAAGAGUCCACAUCGACGGGGAGGUUUGGCACCUCGAUGUCGGCUCAUCACAUCCUGGGGCUGUAGUAGGUCCCAAGGGUUGGGCUGUUCGCCCAUUAAAGUGGUACGCGAGCUGGGUUCAGAACGUCGUGAGACAGUUCGGUCCCUAUCCGUCGCAGGCGUAGGAAAUUUGAGAAGACCUGUCCUUAGUACGAGAGGACCGGGAUGGACGUACCUCUGGUGUACCAGUUGUUCUGCCAAGGGCAUGGCUGGGUAGCUAUGUAUGGAAUGGAUAAGCGCUGAAAGCAUCUAAGCGCGAAGCCAACUUCAAGAUAAGAUUUCCCACCGCAAGGGUAAGACCCCAGAAAGACUAUCUGGUUGAUAGGUCGAAGGUGUAAGUGCAGCAAUGUAUUUAGCUUAUCGAUACUAAUAGGUCGAGGACUUGACCAA